GUAGUCUCGCACAGAUGCAUAUCAAUAAGCGGAGGAAAAGUAACUAACAAGGAAUUCCCUUAGUAACGGCGAGUGAAGCGGGAAGAGCUCAAAUUUGAAAUCUUCAAGGUUUUACCUUGACGAAUUGUAGUUUAAAGAAGUGUUUUCUGUUGAAGUUUUGGUAAAAGUUCUUUGGAAUAGGACAUCAUAGAGGGUGAGAAUCCCGUAUUUGACCAUUAUUUUCAGCUGUGUGAUACACUUUCAAAGAGUCGGAUUGUUUGGGAAUGCAGCCCAAAACGGGAGGUAAAUUUCUUCUAAGGCUAAAUAUUGGCGAGAGACCGAUAGCGAAACAAGUACCGUGAGGGGAAAGAUGAAAAGAACUUUGAAAAGAGAGUUAAAUAGUACGUGAAAUUGUCAAAAGGGAAGCGUUUGACACCAGUGUUGUUUUCUCGAAAAUCAAUUAAAAAGAGUUAGAUUUUGUUGUGUAUUGACCUUAACAGCUUGCAUUUCAAUUUUCUUGCUUUUUUUAAUGCACUUUUCGUUUAACAAGUCAACAUCAGUUUCUUUUGUUGUAAAAAGGUCAUUGGAAGGUGGCUUUCUUUUCGGAGAAAGUGUUUAUAGCCUUUGACUCCUGCAAUCCGGAGAGACUGAGGUCUGCAGCGUAGAUCCUUCGGGGUUAGAUACAUUUGUGCUAAGUUAUAGCUUUUUAUAGACAACUUGUUGACUAUGAUUAGUCUUGUAGCUCACUCGCUUAUGCUAUUUUACCUACGCUUAGGAUGUUGAAGAUGUAGCACAUCAU
rnacentral:rRNA from 1 species